UGCCUAUAGAUAUAUAUAUCCCACAAUUAUUCAGUAGGUGGCAGCUAAAAGCCUAGAUGAGCUUUGCAGUCGCCAUUUAGGCAGCAGCGCGGGCAGAGGCUGGAGCCGGUGCGCCCGUGGAGGCACAAGGAGGGAGGCUGCGGUCCAGGAGCAUCAUCCGCCACCCAGGUUUUCCCCCUAGCUGAGC
rnacentral:lncRNA from 1 species